rnacentral:rRNA from 1 species
UACAGAGGUGGCAAGCGUUGUUCGGAAUUACUGGGCGUAAAGGGCGCGUAGGCGGUUCGAUAAGUCCCGUGUGAAAUCCCUCGGCUCAACUGAGGAACUGCACGGGAAACUGACGGGCUUGAGUUCGGGAGAGGGAAGCGGAAUUCCGGGUGUAGCGGUGAAAUGCGUAGAUAUCUGGAGGAACACCCGUGGCGAAGGCGGCUGGCUGGACCGCAACUGACGCUGAGGAACGAAAGCUAGGGGAGCAAACAGG